UUUAAUGAAGAGUUUGAUCCUGGCUCAGGACGAACGCUGGCGGCGCGCCUAACACAUGCAAGUCGAACGGAGCUGUUUUCUCUGAAGUUUUCGGAUGGAAGAGAGUUCAGCUUAGUGGCGAACGGGUGAGUAACACGUGAGCAACCUGCCUUUCAGUGGGGGACAACAUUUGGAAACGAAUGCUAAUACCGCAUAAGACCACAGUGUCGCAUGGCACAGGGGUCAAAGGAUUUAUCCGCUGAAAGAUGGGCUCGCGUCCGAUUAGCUAGAUGG
rnacentral:rRNA from 1 species